rnacentral:rRNA from 1 species
AUUGAACGCUGGCGGCAGGCUUAACACAUGCAAGUCGAGCGGGGUGAUGGUGCUUGCACUAUCACUUAGCGGCGGACGGGUGAGUAAUGCUUAGGAAUCUGCCUAUUAGUGGGGGACAACAUCUCGAAAGGGAUGCUAAUACCGCAUACGUCCUACGGGAGAAAGCAGGGGAUCACUUGUGACUCUGCGCUAAUAGAUGAGCCUAAGUCGGAUUAGCUAGUUGGUGGGGUAAAGGCCUACCAAGGCGACGAUCUGUAGCGGGUCUGAGAGGAUGAUCCGCCACACUGGGACUGAGACAUGGCCCAGACUCCUACGUGAGGCAGCAGUGGGGAAUAUUGGACAAUGGGGGGAACCCUGAUCCAGCCAUGCCGCGUGUGUGAAGAAGGCCUUAUGGUUGUAAAGCACUUUAAGCGAGGAGGAGGCUCUUUUGGUUAAUACCCAAGAUGAGUGGACGUUACUCGCAGAAUAAGCACCGGCUAACUCUGUGCCAGCCGCCGCUGUAAAAC